AAUAAUAAUAAUAAUAAUAUAAUUUUGUUUUUUGUAAAAUUUUGUAAAUACCUAAUUUUGUCAUGCUAGCAUGUGUGGAAACUUUUAAACCAUGUGAGUUACAACUAGCCCUUCCAUGGUUGUGCCCUGCUCACCCCAGUCCAGCCUCAAAGUUGUUACCUUUCACCUUAUGCUAAUUUUAUACGGCUGCUAACGGCUUUAGCCUUGCAACAUACUCUCAUACAGCUGAGCUACAGCAGGAAGUCUUCCUGCUUUAUUAUUUCCCUUUUGGCUCAGCAAGGCAGGAAGGCAAUCCUCUCUUUCCUCUCCUGUCCUCACAGAUUUAAAUCAGACACAGUUGAAUCAGUAAUGUGUUUAAUCCAUGAGCCUCAUUGAUUGCUCAUUCGUUUGAGUGGAAGGUCCAACCAAAGUUCAGCAGACGCAGGUCGAUGGGGAACAGUAGUUUUGCUGUGCAUACUCAUCGCCCACAGCAUGGAGGUUCAGUCCUAAUCAAAGAAGAAAAUGCACAGCUCCACAAUGAACUCCAAGAACCCUGUGAGAUCAUUCUGACAGCGCUCACAUCCCAUCUGGUGGCCAUCUGAGGCACAUGCACUGGAAAAAGUAUUGUUGGAUCAACCUUCCUAACAUAUUGUUUAAAAAGUGAAAUGAUUCCAUUUUGAUUAGUAACUGAGUAAAUCUUAUUUCAGAAAUACAUUUUUGUGCCAUCUAAAUGUGAUUUCACCAAAUACAGCAUGUUCCUGGAUCAACAUCUUUGUUUAUCCUGCAACAACAUUCCAAUCACCCAAUCAGAUUUGAGGGACAAGUUUACAGUUUAUGUCAGUACAAAACAAAAGACAAGUCCUUAUGACAUCAUUCUGUAGGAAGUGAUAUUACUUUGAUAGAAAAACCACCACACAAACCUGACUUUUUGGCAAUGGAUUUGAUGGGUUCUGUUUUGUGUUUUAUAUAUCACACAAUUAACCAAGCUGGCAUCAUCAUGUAAACUCGCAAUUGCUCAGUGAAUAUUGGCUAAAGGUCCAUAUUUCAUGCCACUGUAUAAAGAAGUUGAAUACAGUUAAAGUGCCUGAUCUUAACCAGAGAAUAUUUCUGAAAGUCUGGCAUUUAAUUAUAUAAUUAUACGUCUUUAAAGGGAUAGUUCACCCAAAAGUGAACAUUUUAUGUUUUUCUGUUUACCCCCAGGGCAUCCA